rnacentral:rRNA from 1 species
GACGAACGCUGGCGGCGUGCCUAAUACAUGCAAGUCGAACGAGAGCGACCGGUGCUUGCACUGGUCAAUCUAGUGGCGAACGGGUGAGUAACACGUGGGUAACCUGCCCAUCAGAGGGGGAUAACAUCCGGAAACGGAUGCUAAAACCGCAUAGGUCUUCGAGCCGUAUGGCUUGAAGAGGAAAAGAGGCGCAAGCUUCUGCUGAUGGAUGGACCCGCGGUGCAUUAGCUAGUUGGUGAGGUAACGGCUCACCAAGGCCGUGAUGCAUAGCCGACCUGAGAGGGUGAUCGGCCACAUUGGGACUGAGACACGGCCCAAACUCCUACGGGAGGCAGCAGUAGGGAAUCUUCCGCAAUGGACGCAAGUCUGACGGAGCAACGCCGCGUGAGUGAAGAAGGUUUUCGGAUCGUAAAACUCUGUUGUUAGAGAAGAACAAGUGCUAGAGUAACUGUUAGCGCCUUGACGGUAUCUAACCAGAAAGCCACGGCUAACUACGUG